rnacentral:lncRNA from 1 species
CCAGAAUUUCCUUCAAAUUGGUGAAGCUGCUGGGAGUUUGAGAAGAAAAGGCCAAAGCUAUGCUGGGGAACAAGAGCUGAACAGGACAAAUCAACUUACAACAAACCUCAGCCACAGAGCAAAUUUAUCCAUCCCCUCAGAUGGCCAGUCAGCCAAUGAAUAUGUAUUUAAAACAAACUGAGGGACUGGAAUCUAAAUGAAACAGGGUUGAAAUCUGCAAACUUGGGUGCAGAGCGACUACUACCACUUGGGCAGACCCCUGUCCCCAGGGCCAGGUGUGCUGGCAGUGCUCAGCAGCAACGCUUGAUCCUACCACGGCAUUGUGACCCCCAAUAGAACUAAAACACCAAGAGGCAGAAUUGUCUCCAUGACACAGUGAAUGCAAUUGUCACCCCAGACACAGAAGAAAUGCCAGUCAAGCCCCCAGGUGUUUUUCAAAAGUCAAACUAAAUCCAGACUAGAUCCUCUUGCAUGAGCUUAAAUUAGCUUUCUAGUUCAAAGCAAGAGUGUGUUUUCAAAACAACGCUCCCAAUCAUCCACAUUUAUUGUACUUGCAUUCCAACCACUGAGCAGUCUCCCAGGACACUGACAGAAUUCUUUUCUCAUGAAUCUAAACCAGAAGAUGAACUCCAUGAGUGCACCCAGUGCACUCCAACUGCUAAGAGAUUUGAAACCAGUCUGACAAACAAGUCACCCUAGAUACUGCUGCCUGAGCCUUGGCCACAGGAAUGUCAGCCUGAUUCACACUGCCUUCAGCCCUCUGAGCGUUUCCUGGUUCAGAGAGACCAAGCAGCCACGUUCUGGCAGUUUCAAUGGGAAGUGUCAGCCUGUUUCCAGUGCUUUCAAAAGACAUUCCAUCAUUUCAUGAAUCACAUCAUUGUGUGGAACCUCUGAGAUAAUAAGACUCCGAACAUCAUCUCACAACACCAUUUGGAUCAAAGACAGGGAAGCAUAUGUGCAUUCUUUUCUACACAGAUUUUGCAGGGGAAGUCAGGAAAAUCCUGCUGGCUGUAAGACUUUUCUUAGCUUCAUUUGCAAAAGGCUGCAUGCCACUAGCAGAGGACAAGAUGGAACUGAUCCUGGAGGAAAUUACAGUAGAUUUCUGCCAUCCAGAGCAAGGAUGACUCAGGGCAUUGGCACAGUGGAACUGGGAAACACAUCUUUGUAGGGACUGGAAUUAUACAGCUAAGUCAAAACCAAGAUAUAGAUAUCGC